GGUUGAAGGUUGGGUAACACUAACUGGAGGACCGAACCGACUAAUGUUGAAAAAUUAGCGGAUGACUUGUGGCUGGGGGUGAAAGGCCAAUCAAACCGGGAGAUAGCUGGUUCUCCCCGAAAGCUAUUUAGGUAGCGCCUCGUGAAUUCAUCUCCGGGGGUAGAGCACUGUUUCGGCAAGGGGGUCAUCCCGACUUACCAACCCGAUGCAAACUGCGAAUACCGGAGAAUGUUAUCACGGGAGACACACGGCGGGUGCUAACGUCCGUCGUGAAGAGGGAAACAACCCAGACCGCCAGCUAAGGUCCCAAAGUCAUGGUUAAGUGGGAAACGAUGUGGGAAGGCCCAGACAGCCAGGAUGUUGGCUUAGAAGCAGCCAUCAUUUAAAGAAAGCGUAAUAGCUCACUGGUCGAGUCGGCCUGCGCGGAAGAUGUAACGGGGCUAAACCAUGCACCGAAGCUGCGGCAGCGACACUAUGUGUUGUUGGGUAGGGGAGCGUUCUGUAAGCCUGUGAAGGUGGCCUGUGAGGGUUGCUGGAGGUAUCAGAAGUGCGAAUGCUGACAUAAGUAACGAUAAAGCGGGUGAAAAGCCCGCUCGCCGGAAGACCAAGGGUUCCUGUCCAACGUUAAUCGGGGCAGGGUGAGUCGACCCCUAAGGCGAGGCCGAAAGGCGUAGUCGAUGGGAAACAGGUUAAUAUUCCUGUACUUGGUGUUACUGCGAAGGGGGGACGGAGAAGGCUAUGUUGGCCGGGCGACGGUUGUCCCGGUUUAAGCGUGUAGGCUGGUUUUCCAGGCAAAUCCGGAAAACCAAGGCUGAGGCGUGAUGACGAGGCACUACGGUGCUGAAGCGACAAAUGCCCUGCUUCCAGGAAAAGCCUCUAAGCAUCAGGUAACAUCAAAUCGUACCCCAAACCGACACAGGUGGUCAGGUAGAGAAUACCAAGGCGCUUGAGAGAACUCGGGUGAAGGAACUAGGCAAAAUGGUGCCGUAACUUCGGGAGAAGGCACGCUGAUAUGUAGGUGAAGCGACUUGCUCGUGGAGCUGAAAUCAGUCGAAGAUACCAGCUGGCUGCAACUGUUUAUUAAAAACACAGCACUGUGCAAACACGAAAGUGGACGUAUACGGUGUGACGCCUGCCCGGUGCCGGAAGGUUAAUUGAUGGGGUUAGCGGUAACGCGAAGCUCUUGAUCGAAGCCCCGGUAAACGGCGGCCGUAACUAUAACGGUCCUAAGGUAGCGAAAUUCCUUGUCGGGUAAGUUCCGACCUGCACGAAUGGCGUAAUGAUGGCCAGGCUGUCUCCACCCGAGACUCAGUGAAAUUGAACUCGCUGUGAAGAUGCAGUGUACCCGCGGCAAGACGGAAAGACCCCGUGAACCUUUACUAUAGCUUGACACUGAACAUUGAGCCUUGAUGUGUAGGAUAGGUGGGAGGCUUUGAAGUGUGGACGCCAGUCUGCAUGGAGCCGACCUUGAAAUACCACCCUUUAAUGUUUGAUGUUCUAACGUUGGCCCGUAAUCCGGGUUGCGGACAGUGUCUGGUGGGUAGUUUGACUGGGGCGGUCUCCUCCUAAAGAGUAACGGAGGAGCACGAAGGUUGGCUAAUCCUGGUCGGACAUCAGGAGGUUAGUGCAAUGGCAUAAGCCAGCUUGACUGCGAGCGUGACGGCGCGAGCAGGUGCGAAAGCAGGUCAUAGUGAUCCGGUGGUUCUGAAUGGAAGGGCCAUCGCUCAACGGAUAAAAGGUACUCCGGGGAUAACAGGCUGAUACCGCCCAAGAGUUCAUAUCGACGGCGGUGUUUGGCACCUCGAUGUCGGCUCAUCACAUCCUGGGGCUGAAGUAGGUCCCAAGGGUAUGGCUGUUCGCCAUUUAAAGUGGUACGCGAGCUGGGUUUAGAACGUCGUGAGACAGUUCGGUCCCUAUCUGCCGUGGGCGCUGGAGAACUGAGGGGGGCUGCUCCUAGUACGAGAGGACCGGAGUGGACGCAUCACUGGUGUUCGGGUUGUCAUGCCAAUGGCACUGCCCGGUAGCUAAAUGCGGAAGAGAUAAGUGCUGAAAGCAUCUAAGCACGAAACUUGC
rnacentral:rRNA from 1 species